ACUUCUUGCUCAUUUUCAUUAUCAAUAAACUUCAAAGUAAUGGGAGUCAACGAUAAGAAAGCAUUACAUUGUCUUGAAAGUACCAGGAGAGAAGAGCCAUGGAAACAAUUGACUCAAUUUUUCAAAAACACUAUCUGCGAGGAAAAUCUAGCUCCUUGGCUCUCACACAAAAGCCCAAUUGUAUGAAAAGCAUUUCAUGGAGCUGAUUCCAAUACAAAACAAAAACAGGAAUUAAUUGAUUUGCAGAGAUCUCAGAUACGGCUCCAAGUAUCCGGCUAUGAUUUACCAACGCAGAAUGGAAAGUGAGCUGAAUUCUCCCAGAAUUUACACCCUUAGUACUUACUUUUAAAAAUUGUUGCUGGGAAUUUACCCAAGGGAUACAGGAGUGCUGAUGCAUAGGGGCACAUGUACCCCAAGGUUUAUAGCAGCACUUUCAACAAUAGCCAAAUUAUGGAAAGAGCCUAAAUGUCCAUCAACUGACGAAUGGAUAAAGAAGGUGUGGUUUAUAUAUACAAUGGAAUACUGCUUGGCAAUGAGAAAGAAUGAAAUAUGGCCCUUUGUAGCAACGUGGAUGGAACUGGAGAGUGUGAUGCUAAGUGAAAUAAGCCAUACAGAGAAAGACAGAUACCAUAUGUUUUCACUUAUGUGGAUCCUGAGAAACUUAACAGAAGACCAUGGGGGAGGGGAAGGAGAAAAUAAAAGAGGUUAGAGAGGGAGGGAGCCAAAACAUAAGAGACUCUUAAAAACUGAGGACAAACUGAGGGUUGAUGGGGGAGGUGGGAGGGAAGGGAAGGUGGGUGAUGGAUAUUGAGGAGGGCACCUGUUGGGAUGAGCCCUGGGUGUUGUAUGGAAAGCAAUUUGACAACAAAUUAGAUUAAAAAAUCAAAAAUAAAAAUUGUUUAUAGUUUGCUUGAGCAGUAAUUUUCUAAUUAUACUCAGUUAUCUAUAAAAGAAUUCUGUAGUCUCCCAAAGCACCUAAUUUAUAAUCAAGAAGUCAUCCCAAUGAGACAAGGUGAGCCUGUUUGCAAGUGUAUCUCAAACAUCCAUACCUGGCUCAUAAGCUUCUAACCACAUGUUUCCUUUAAAAGGUGAAGAUAUGCAACCCAAUAUAUGAGAAGCCCGGAUGUCUGAAGCCUUCAGAAUGGCAACAGCAAAAGACUGCUUAAUUAAGAAAUGGCAGAGUCAUCUACACCCAGCAAGAGGGCAAGGAUUCAGCAUUCACCCCAUCACUGAUCUGCUUUUUAAUCUUCUCCAGCUCAUCAACUUCUUUCUUUUCUUAAUAACGACUUUAUUGGGUUGUGUUUCUCUUGAGGUUUGAGAAUGGAGAAAGAGAUAUCUAUGAAAAUUUCAGGACUGUGUCAUUGAUGCUGUCUUUCUCCAGUGACUUACUUCAACACGCAUGACUACUGGGCCAACAUUGUCAGUGAAAGAAUGCUCCUCUGUUACACCUUUGACUGCAGCUGGCAUCAUAAGAUAGAAGUCCAGUGGAACACCUCACUCAGUAACGGGCAGCUUUGUUUCCAGUAGGCCUUGCAGACUGCAGUUUGACAGCUGCAGGAGGAGAUGAAAUCCAGAAACUGACAGUGCUCCACACCUCCACAGAAGGGCAGAUUUCACUGUAGUCUGGAAUACCCUUGAAGGUGAUGGAGUGGUGGUUGGCCCUGUUAGAUGCUGGGGCAAUACCAGGAAUGAAGCAGACAUCGUUCCUUCCAUUCUGGAGCUUCCAUUCUAGUGGAGAGUGAUGACUAUAAUGGAGAAAAGUAAGAUGAGGUAAGGGGGUUACUGAGAUAGUAUGGGAAGUACUAUUUUAUAUACGGUGGUCAGGGAACUCUUUUCUUGAUGAAAUUAUGUUUGAGCGAGGCUUGAAGGAAGUGACAGAGAAAACCG